CAGCAGCCGCGGUAAUACGGAGGAUCCUAGUGUUAUCCGGAUUUAUUGGGUUUAAAGGGAGCGUAGGCGGGAGGUCAAGUCAGCUGUGAAAUGUAUCUGCUUAACGGGUACACUGCAGUUGAAACUGGUUUUCUUGAGUGCGUAAGAGGCAGGCGGAAUUCGUUGUGUAGCGGUGAAAUGCUUAGAUAUGACGAGGAACUCCUAUUGCGAAGGCAGCUUGCUGGGUCGUUACUGACGCUGAUGCUCGAAGGUGCGGGGAUCAAACAGGAUUAGAUACCCUGGUAGUCCGCACAGUAAACUAUGGAUACUCUCUGCCGGCGAUAUAUUGUCGGUGGCCAAGCGAAAGCGUUAAGUAUCCCACCUGGGGAGUACGUUCGCAAGAAUGAAACUCAAAGGAAUUGACGG
rnacentral:rRNA from 1 species